AUUGAACGCUGGCGGCAGGCCUAACACAUGCAAGUCGAACGAGUGGCGGACGGGUGAGUAAUGUCUGGGAAACUGCCCGAUGGAGGGGGAUAACUACUGGAAACGGUAGCUAAUACCGCAUACCAUCGGAUGUGCCCAGAUGGGAUUAGCUAGUGGGUGGGGUAACGGCUCACCUAGGCCACGAUCCGUAGCUGGUCUGAGAGGAUGACCAGCCACACUGGAACUGAGACACGGUCCAGACUCCUACGGGAGGCAGCAGUGGGGAAUAUUGGACAAUGGGGGCAAGCCUGAUGCAGCCAUGCCGCGUGUAUGAAGAAGGCCUUCGGGUUGUAAAGUACUUUCGGCGGAGAAGCGUUACCCGCAGAAGAAGCACCGGCUAACUCCGUGCCAGCAGCCGCGGUAAUAC
rnacentral:rRNA from 1 species